GGGGGUGGGGGGUGGGGGGGUCCUCAGACCGUGGUCAUGUCUCUAUUCUCGUUCUUCCAGAUUGAAUUGCCACAACUUGUUUAUUCAUUAAAACCCAGCCCUUUCGUGUCACCGCCAGCUACUGUGUCCAUAAUUCCGAUUGUGAAAAUAGCCCCCACCCCGAAAAAAUUCACACCCCGAACCUAUAGCGCUACCAAGAUUUACCUCUGCGUUAAGUUUGUUAAAAUAGUGCCCAAUAGGUAACAUGUAUCAACAUAUUAACUGACUCCAAAUGGCUGGUAUUUGUUAGGAUCCUUAUGACAUGACUAUAAGGCGUUAUAGUGGGUCAUACAUGCUCAUGACAAGUCUUAUGCAGCAUUAUAAAUGUGAUCAUAAAGCAUCAAUCAUACAACGAGACGUGAUGAAAUACUAAUUUGUUACCGUUGUACGUUACUUAGUAAAUAGUCUGUUAAUAAAGUUUUUUUUUUUUUUUUAAAUUGUUGCCAUGUGUUCGUCAGUCAGAUCGUCUCAUAGUCUGAGUCUUUUUUUUUUUAGCUGUGUAUACAGUAUAUCUUUAUGUUUAGUGAAGCUGGAGGAACACUUAGCUCUCCCCAACACACUGAGUAUGAGUCAGCAUUUACCUACAGUGGUAAAGUACUGUAUACAGUUCUCUGGGGGCAUUUAAAAAGUUUUUUUUUUUUCAAAAUGCUUUGCUACAGCACAUUUUGGGAGUUAAACCCUCAGUGCAACUUUUCAUUUUAUCUGUAAUUGAAUAGGGGCUAAGGACAAUCUUAGUAACAUCAUUUUAUUUUCUGAAGCAGAGAAUUGGCCCCCAGUACUAAGAGUCAGAUAAUCUGUCUGUGAAUUUUAAUUGGACAUUGUAAUAAGAAUAGGGAGACAAAAUGCCCUCUGUUGCUGGGAAGUGGGAACACUAUACACAGCUACCCCUGCAUUCACAUCCUCUUUUGGCUAACAUAUUCAAAUGUGUCUGGUGCACUGACUAGCAUAGCUAUAAUUUGAGUCUGGUUCAUUGUUUGUUUAUAAAUGGCAGGCGUUGGUGUAGAUGCAAUAGGCAUACAGUGGGGCAAAAAAGUAUUUAGUCAGCCACCAAUUGUGCAAGUUCUCCCACUUAAAAAGAUGAGGGAGGCCUGUAAUUUUCAUCAUAGGUACACUUCAACUAUGACAGACAAAAUGAGGAAAACAAUUUGAGAAAAUCACAUUGUAGGAUUUUUAAUGAAUUUAU
ensembl:lncRNA